UGGAGAGUUUGAUCCUGGCUCAGAUUGAACGCUGGCGGCAUGCUUUACACAUGCAAGUCGAACGGUAACAGGUCUUCGGAUGCUGACGAGUGGCGAACGGGUGAGUAAUACAUCGGAACGUGCCUAGUAGUGGGGGAUAACUACUCGAAAGAGUAGCUAAUACCGCAUGAGAUCUACGGAUGAAAGCAGGGGACCUUCGGGCCUUGUGCUACUAGAGCGGCUGAUGGCAGAUUAGGUAGUUGGUGGGGUAAAGGCUUACCAAGCCUGCGAUCUGUAGCUGGUCUGAGAGGACGACCAGCCACACUGGGACUGAGACACGGCCCAGACUCCUACGGGAGGCAGCAGUGGGGAAUUUUGGACAAUGGGCGAAAGCCUGAUCCAGCAAUGCCGCGUGCAGGAUGAAGGCCCUCGGGUUGUAAACUGCUUUUGUACGGAACGAAAAGCCUGGGGCUAAUAUCCCCGGGUCAUGACGGUACCGUAAGAAUAAGCACCGGCUAACUACGUGCCAGCAGCCGCGGUA
rnacentral:rRNA from 1 species